AGCGAACGCUGGCGGCAGGCCUAACACAUGCAAGUCGAACGAACCUUUCGGGGUUAGUGGCGGACGGGUGAGUAACACGUGGGAACGUGCCUUUAGGUUCGGAAUAACUCAGGGAAACUUGUGCUAAUACCGAAUGUGCCCUUCGGGGGAAAGAUUUAUCGCCUUUAGAGCGGCCCGCGUCUGAUUAGCUAGUUGGUUGAGGUAAUGGCUCACCAAGGCGACGAUCAGUAGCUGGUCUGAGAGGAUUAUCAGCCACAUUGGGACUGAGACACGGCCCAAACUCCUACGGGAGGCAGCAGUGGGGAAUCUUGCGCAAUGGGCGAAAGCCUGACGCAGCCAUGCCGCGUGAAUGAUGAAGGUCUUAGGAUUGUAAAAUUCUUUCACCGGGGACGAUAAUGACGGUACCCGGAGAAGAAGCCCCGGCUAACUUCGUG
rnacentral:rRNA from 1 species